UACGAAGGGGGCUAGCGUUGUUCGGAAUUACUGGGCGUAAAGAGCGCGUAGGCGGCUCGCCAAGUUGGAAGUGAGAGCCCAGGGCUCAACCCUGGAACUGCUUUCAAAACUAGCGAGCUAGAGUUAGGUAGGGGAUGGUGGAAUUUCUAGUGUAGAGGUGAAAUUCUUAGAUAUUAGAAGGAACACCAGUGGCGAAGGCGGCCAUCUGGGCCUAUACUGACGCUGAGGUGCGAAAGCGUGGGGAGCAAACAGG
rnacentral:rRNA from 1 species